rnacentral:rRNA from 1 species
UACGUAGGGGGCUAGCGUUGCUCGGAAUGACUGGGCGUAAAGGGCGCGUAGGCGGAUGGCACAGUCAGAUGUGAAAUUCCCGGGCUUAACCUGGGGGCUGCAUUUGAUACGUGUUGUCUAGAGUGAGGAAGAGGGUUGUGGAAUUCCCAGUGUAGAGGUGAAAUUCGUAGAUAUUGGGAAGAACACCGGUGGCGAAGGCGGCAACCUGGUCCUUGACUGACGCUGAGGCGCGAAAGCGUGGGGAGCAAACAGG